rnacentral:rRNA from 1 species
UACGUAGGGGGCUAGCGUUGUCCGGAUUUAUUGGGCGUAAAGAGCGUGUAGGCGGCCUGGUAGGUCUGCUGUGAAAACUCGAGGCUCAACCUCGAGAUGUCGGCGGAAACCAUCUGGCUAGAGUCCGGAAGAGGAGAGUGGAAUUCCCAGUGUAGAGGUGAAAUUCGUAGAUAUUGGGAAGAACACCGGUGGCGAAGGCGGCGACCUGGUCCGAUACUGACGCUGAGGCGCGAAAGCGUGGGGAGCAAACAGG